CAAUUGCUUAUAACCUUUUGGUUAUAAAUAAUUGUUAGUGGCAGACGGGUGAGUAAUGCGUAGGAAUCUACCUAGUAGUAUGGAAUAGCCAUUAGAAAUGAUGGGUAAUACUGUAUAAUCCCUGAGGGGGAAAGAUUUAUCGCUAUUAGAUGAGCCUACAUUAGAUUAGCUAGUUGGUAAGGUAAUGGCUUACCAAGGCUAUGAUCUAUAGCUGGUCUGAGAGGACGAUCAGCCACACUGGAACUGAGAUACGGUCCAGACUCCUACGGGAGGCAGCAGUGGGGAAUAUUGGACAAUGGGCGAAAGCCUGAUCCAGCUAUGCCGCGUGAGUGAAGAAGGCCUUCGGGUUGUAAAGCUCUUUCAAUAGGGAAGAUAAUGACGGUACCUAUA
rnacentral:rRNA from 1 species